GGUCAAUUUGUUUAUGAAGACAAGCUAUAAUCAAGUAGCUGGGUGUAAGGUGGGGUUUUCCCCCUUUCCAAGCUGCACGAACUCCAGCCACCCCUAGGAGGAGACAACGUAUCACACACCCCAAACGAGUAGGCAGCAAGUGCCAGAAAGAACUUUAGAGCUGGUUUGUGGCCUGGAUGAUGCAAACAAGUCUCAGGUUCGUGGCCUCUGACCUGAAUUUGGAUUCACAUAAACACACUGACACACGUGAGAUGACUGGGCCGUUCUGGCUUGAGUUUAUUUUCUCUAAUUUUGUGCUCAACGGAAAUAGCCAACAUGAGAUCAUCUUCCAGGGGCUUCAUCUACUUAAAGCAAAAGUACUAAGUCACUAGUCAUCUUUUUCCUAGUAUUGAGAGCUCAGUCUCCUUUUUUCUCUACUUCCUUUCCUCUGAGUAUCAUCAGUAAGUUAUCUACAGCUUUCAGACCCCAACCAUGUGUGGUGCACAAGGAAGAGGGGUCAGAACGUGUGUGUGGGACCAUUACUCACUUUGCUUUAGAGAUGAAUUUGUAAGUGUCAUUCCAGUAAGCCAGGAGAUCCGUUGCCUCUUCAUCAUAUACCCGAAUGUUGUGAUACUCAAAGACUCCUGGGAAGAAGUUAUCUAUCUCUCGAGUGACAUUCAAGAUAUAUCGUACCCUGUGAGGAAACCAAGGGAGAUUAUGAGCCCUACUACUCAGGCGAAAUCCAAUUCCCAGCACUGGAAUUUUUCUUAUUUAAAACUUGCUUACUUCUGGGCUUCCCUGGUGGUGCAGUGGUUAAGAACCUGCCUGCCAAGGCAGGGGACACGGGUUUGAGCCCUGGUCUGAGCCCGCAUGCCGCGGAGCAACUAAGCCCAUGCGCCACAACUACUGAGCCUGCGCUCUAGAGCCCACAAGCCACAACUACUGAGCCCGAGUGCUGCAACUACUGAAGCCCACGUGCCUAGAGCCCGUGCUCCACAAGAGAAGCCACCGCAAUGAGAAGCCCACGCACCGCAACCAAGAGUAGCCCCCGCUCACCACAACUAGAGAAAGCCCGUGCACAGCAACGAAGACCCAAUGCAGCCAAAAAUGAAAAUAAAUAAAUAAAAAACAAACUUGUUUAUUCCUGAGGCUGAAAUUAAAUACUAAAAUAUUGAAGAAAGCUAAAAAAAAAAAACCCUAAGAGGCUAUCCUUAUUUAAUACAGAAAUUGUAUAACAGGGUCCUGCACAUACCUGGGUAUCAGGGAGUUACUGAGAGAAAAGCUGUCUACCAAGUUCAACAUCUAUAUUCCAUUUUCAGUUUGUGUUUAGUUAUACAAUCUCAUCUUUCAGAGUCUUUUGAAAAUAUGCCUUGCAUUUUACUCCAAAGAAUCAACUUGAGGCCCAUGAUCUGACAAUUUCUCUGCAGUCACUAAAAUUACCAGCAACAAAAUUUUUUGGAAGUCAUCUGUAUUAAAUCAGACUAUUAAUAUGUACCUUAAGAAAAAAAAAUAGAAGGAAACAUUCCCUCCUAUCUUUCUAAAUGCCAGGUUGUCAGUUUUUGCUCUAUUACUCUCCUUAAACUACAUGAAGGCAAGU